ACAAUCAUUUGUUCAUCCUGCCCACAUCUGCUUUGUGACCUCUUUGAGAGGCUGGUCCAUACCUGAGUCUUCUUAGAGGUCACAGGCCCAGAUCCGGGCCCCUUGGGGCCCCUGAAUGUUUGCUGAAUGAAUGAUUUCACAGUUACAAAUUACACUAGAAGAUGAUCGAUGAAUGCUGAAGAACACCUUGGUGAGCAUUACUUAAUGGCAUGUUCACUAGAACAUUGAAAAUUAGCAUGUUAUAGAUUAUGAAAUUGAAGACAAUUAGCUACUGAUACAUCCUUAUUCAAACAUAAUUUGUGGGAACCAGCUAAUCUAAGUACAAAUAUUCUUUCUAAGGUAUUGCAAAUUUUAUCACCAUUUUACUUAUUGUCUAGAUAUGUUUCUGCCAACUAUUUCUUUAUUCUCUUCCCCCUUAUCCUUCACUCUCAAUAUUAUACAGACAGUUGAA